GGAGACGCGGAACACAGGUGCUGCAUGGCUGUCGUCAGCUCGUGUCGUGAGAUGUUGGGUUAAGUCCGCAACGAGCGCAACCCUUGUCAUUAGUUGCCAUCAUUUGGUUGGGCACUCUAAUGAGACUGCCGGUGACAAACCGGAGGAAGGUGGGGAUGACGUCAAGUCCUCAUGGCCCUUAUGGGUAGGGCUUCGACACGUCAUACAAUGGUCGGUACAGAGGGUUGCCAACCCGCGAGGGGGAGCUAAGUCCCACAAAGCCGAUCGUAGUCCGGAUCGCAGUCUGCAACUCGACUGCGUGAAGUCGGAAUCGCUAGUAAUCGUGGAUCAGCAUGUCACGGUGAAUACGUUCCCGGGUCUU
rnacentral:rRNA from 1 species